AUUGAACGCUGGCGGCAUGCCUUACACAUGCAAGUCGAACGGCAGCGGGGGAGAAGCUUGCUUUUCCUGCCGGCGAGUGGCGGACGGGUGAGUAAUACAUCGGAACGUGCCCUGUAGUGGGGAUAACUAGUCGAAAGAUUAGCUAAUACCGCAUACGACCUGAGGGUGAAAGUGGGGGACCGCAAGGCCUCAUGCUAUAGGAGCGGCCGAUGUCUGAUUAGCUAGUUGGUGGGGUAAAGGCCUACCAAGGCGACGAUCAGUAGCUGGUCUGAGAGGACGAUCAGCCACACUGGGACUGAGACACGGCCCAGACUCCUACGGGAGGCAGCAGUGGGGAAUUUUGGACAAUGGGCGAAAGCCUGAUCCAGCAAUGCCGCGUGUGUGAAGAAGGCCUUCGGGUUGUAAAGCACUUUUGUCCGGAAAGAAGUGGCUCUGGUUAAUACCUGGGGUCGAUGACGGUACCGGAAGAAUAAGGACCGGCUAACUACGUGCCAGCCGCCGCCGUA
rnacentral:rRNA from 1 species